rnacentral:lncRNA from 1 species
GGAGAAAUUUCAUUUCGAUCUUGAUUUUGAGGUAAAAUGGAAAUGACCUGGUCCUUCUAAAAUCCUAUCCUGACUCUCCUAUAAGAAUUUAAAUUUUCAUUCCAAUUCCGAUUUCCAUUUCAAUUUCAGUUAUGAACUAAAUGCUUCGAGAUAUGACAUUUUGAUUCUAAUUCAUUUUGAUUCCAAUUUCGAUUCUGAUCGUGAACUAAAUACCUUAGUUCUUGAACUCGAAAUUGAUUAUGCUGCUUAUGGCAAUAUAAUUUUAUUAUGCCACGAAUCAAGG